rnacentral:rRNA from 1 species
AGUGAACGCUGGCGGCAGGCCUAACACAUGCAAGUCGAGCGGCAGCGCGGGGCAACCCUGGCGGCGAGCGGCGGACGGGUGAGGAAUACAUCGGAAUCUACCCAGUCGUGGGGGAUAACGUAGGGAAACUUACGCUAAUACCGCAUACGACCUGAGGGUGAAAGCAGGGGACCGCAAGGCCUUGCGCGAUUGGAUGAGCCGAUGUCCGAUUAGUUAGUUGGUGAGGUAAAGGCUCACCAAGGCGACGAUCGGUAGCUGGUCUGAGAGGAUGAUCAGCCACACUGGAACUGAGACACGGUCCAGACUCCUACGGGAGGCAGCAGUGGGGAAUAUUGGACAAUGGGCGCAAGCCUGAUCCAGCCAUGCCGCGUGUGUGAAGAAGGCCUUCGGGUUGUAAAGCACUUUUGUUGGGAAGAAAUCUUCCGACCUAAUACGUCGGGAGGCUGACGGUACCCAAAGAAUAAGCACCGGCUAACUUCGUGCCAGCAGCCGCGGUAAUACGAAGGGUGCAAGCGUUACUCGGAAUUACUGGGCGUAAAGCGUGCGUAGGUGGUUCGUUAAGUCUGCCGUGAAAGCCCCGGGCUCAACCUGGGAAUGGCGGUGGAUACUGGCGGACUAGAGUGCGGUAGAGGGUGGUGGAAUUCCCGGUGUAGCAGUGAAAUGCGUAGAGAUCGGGAGGAACAUCUGUGGCGAAGGCGGCCACCUGGACCAGCA